rnacentral:rRNA from 1 species
GACGAACGCUGGCGGCGUGCUUAACACAUGCAAGUCGAACGGAAAGGCCCUGCUUUUGUGGGGUGCUCGAGUGGCGAACGGGUGAGUAACACGUGAGUAACCUGCCCUUGACUUUGGGAUAACUUCAGGAAACUGGGGCUAAUACCGGAUAGGAGCUCCUGCUGCAUGGUGGGGGUUGGAAAGUUUCGGCGGUUGGGGAUGGACUCGCGGCUUAUCAGCUUGUUGGUGGGGUAGUGGCUUACCAAGGCUUUGACGGGUAGCCGGCCUGGGAGGGUGACCGGCCACAUUGGGACUGAGAUACGGCCCAGACUCCUACGGGAGGCAGCAGUGGGGAAUAUUGCACAAUGGGCGGAAGCCUGAUGCAGCAACGCCGCGUGGGGGAUGACGGCCUUCGGGUUGUAAACCGUUUUCGCCUGUGACGAAGCGUGAGUGACGGUAAUGGGUAAAGAAGCACCGGCUAACUACGUG